rnacentral:rRNA from 1 species
AAGCGAAUCCCAAAAAUAAGCGUCUCAGUUCGGAUUGUAGUCUGCAACUCGACUACAUGAAGCUGGAAUCGCUAGUAAUCGCGAAUCAGAAUGUCGCGGUGAAUACGUUCCCGGGUCUUGUACACACCGCCCGUCACACCAUGGGAGCCGGUAAUACCCGAAGUCAGUAGUCCAACCUCGUGAGGACGCUGCCGAAGGUAGGAUUGGCGACUGGGGUGAAGUCGUAACAAGGUAAC